UUGGCACGCGCGCGCGCUCAGCUUCCAGGCCGCAGCCCAGCACCACAGCGCACCUUUUGUUUUUUUCGUUCUCUGCUCUCUACCGCUGACCGCCAGGCCCGCAUGUCAUCACCUUGCCCAGCGUGUUUUUCCCGAACACAUUAGCUGCCGAACCCAGCCACAAUCAGAUCGGCCAAUUCAAUUGAUCCCUGGACUCCAUGCGUGAAUUGAUGCCCUAUAUAAGAUAUCCAGCUCCUCCUCUUUCGAUUUUCACCUUUUUGUAGGUCCCCAUGCACUAUCUCGCCUGUUCCAGAGGAUCCCGAUCUUGCCGGAGUACAUCCGCCCGAAGCUUCUACCGCAGUCGAUUCCAGCCACCCUCUGCUGUCGUCCUCGCUCGCCACAGACGCCGCUGAGGACGUCUUCGAGACCACAGCAAAGCUCCUCGCCCCGUACGCUACCCUCCGGAGUCUGGAUACCACCGGAGCAGGCGCCACCGUCGCCGCCCGAGCCGCCGCGCCGCCGUUUUGUCCAAGUCCGGCUGCCCUGCCCUUGUUUCUCCGAUGAUCAGUGAGAUACAGUAGGGUCACGAGUCUUCACUCAGCAUUUUCGCCAGUGGGCAUUGAUGGGACUCACUGUUUAAUUAUGCUACAUUUCCGCUGUUAUUAUUGAAUAAAGUUAGCUAUGUGCUACUCAGUUUGUAAUACUUUAUGAAUUUUGGAUCAUACGUUGUUGUAAAUGAUGCACUUGUUAUUUGAUAUUCA